rnacentral:rRNA from 1 species
UACGUAGGGUGCAAGCGUUGUCCGGAAUUAUUGGGCGUAAAGAGCUCGUAGGCGGUUCGUCGCGUCGGCUGUGAAAACCUGAGGCUCAACCUCAGGCCUGCAGUCGAUACGGGCGGACUUGAGUACUGCAGGGGGAGACUGGAAUUCCUGGUGUAGCGGUGAAAUGCGCAGAUAUCAGGAGGAACACCGGUGGCGAAGGCGGGUCUCUGGGCAGUAACUGACGCUGAGGAGCGAAAAGCGUGGGGGAGCGAAACAGG